rnacentral:rRNA from 1 species
ACGGAGGGUGCAAGCGUUAAUCGGAAUUACUGGGCGUAAAGCGCACGCAGGCGGUUUGUUAAGUCAGAUGUGAAAUCCCCGGGCUCAACCUGGAAACUGCAUCUGAUACCGGCAAGCUUGAGCCUCGUAGAGGGGGGUAGAAUUUGAGGUGGAGCGGUGAAAUGCGUAGAGAUCACUAGGAAUACCGGUGGCGAAGGCGGCCUCCCGGAUGAAGACUGACGCUCAGGUGCGAAAGCGUGGGGAGCAAACAU